GUUUAGUAGGUGGAUUUGACGGAAGGGAGAAAUGAAGAGAUAAACAUUUUUGAGGGGGAAGGUGAAAUCCAGUUGCUCUGUCCUCAUUAGAAAAUGCUUUAUACAUGAGGUGGGUGUGGAUGAGGACUUUGGACGAGUGGGAAUUGAAAUUUCCAUUGCUGUGCCUCUUACCUUGGGCUGCCUUUGGUGUAUCCCGAAUAAAGUUUGCCUGCAGCCUAAUGGCCAGUAGGCACUAACUUCCUAACCAAGAGUUUCAUCAGAUGAAAACCUGGAGAGUUUUUCCAACCUCUACGUUGGAGGGUUUGACUUAAGACAAAUAUGUGUGUUUUGAAAAAGUUCCCUGUGGACUGUAGGAAUUCAUCCUCACCCUCUGGCCCAUGGGAUCAUGGGCCUGGGGAAACCACUAAUUUCUCUUUGCUCCAAACUCAGAAAGGGAGAAGAAUAAAUAUAUGGCACAGAAGUAGGACCAGAGCAGGGCUAAUAGUGACUUUCAGGCUUCUUCCUUUUUGAUUCUUAUUCCUAGACUCAGAAUCCACCCAUCUCGAUGGCCCAGGUUCUGCAUUGACUGGAGCAUAUUUAAGAGUCUUCAGAACCUCAAACCUAAUGCUAAUCUUUGGUUGGAACAAGGGACAGAUUCAUGGCUCUUGCAUUUCCCAGAAUUCCCAUGAAGAGGAGAUGCCAAACAGGAUACACACAGGUGAGGGCCAGUCAAGAUAAUUCCAAGUCAAGGCGUGUAACUCAGCUCAUAAACAGUCAGAUAGUAACUCUUAACGGUAGUUAUAUAACUUCUAGUUCUGUGAUCCAGGGAUCUUAGGCUACUUCUAUAGCUAAAGUGUGAUGAAUUUAGAUUUUUCUUUCUCAGUAUCUUUUGAUUGCUGCACUGUCCUUAUCUUAUACCAAUGGACUAUGAGAUAGGCAAACAAUUUUCUAUUUGAAUGACAUGCAAAAUGCUUUUCCCCUUAGAACUUUAUAGGGAAACUUGGCCAAAGGCAAAGAAUAUCAUAUCCUAGCCCUAUCUUCAAGUCCUUGGCCUCACUCCUGAUGACCAGUAGUAUGAAGUAUCUGCUCUGUGUUUAGGGUGUCUCUAGCCCCCUGUCCCCAGUCAGCUCCAGAAGCUGACUUUAUCUCUGGCUUCUGAAGUUUCUUUAAGAGGCAGUCAGGAAAGUUGGUCGAGUGAGAGUGGGUGUGUAUGUUACAGUAAUAAAAAAUGUCUAUGUAGACAGCACGAUUUCAGAGUUUUUUUGACUGCUUGGAAGGGUAAGCAAGUUUGAUAACCUUUAGUGUAUUCAGUUGACUAAAGUUUGGAGGAAUCUCUUAUUCCAUCUACUUUUUUUUUUUAAGUUCUUGGCAGUCUGUGUAUCUAAAAAUUUCCCUUCCUUAUGGUCUUGAUUUAGAAAGCAAAUAGGGGUGCCUGAGCGGCUCAGUUGGUUAAGCGUCCAACUCUUGAUUCAGCUCAGGUCAGGAUCUCCCAGUUUCGCGGGUUCGAGCCCCGCAUUGGGCUCUGUGCUUGAUAGAGCAAAGGCUGCUUAGGAUUUUCUCUCUCCUCUCUGCCCCUCCCCCACUUGCGCUGUCUCUGUCUCUGUCUCUCUCAAAACAAAAAUAAAACUGAAAAAAAUAAAAUAAAAGAGAAAGCAAACAUGACUGAGAAAAUGUGUUUAAAGAUAAUUUCAGUUUUUACUUAGUUUUUACAUAGCAGUGCAUCACAUAGUGUUGCGGAUGCUGGGGGUGUAAUGGCGAGAAAAGCAACAUGGCUCUUGCUUUCAUACAGCUUACAUUUUCGUUGGGGAAGAUAGACAUUAUCUGAAGGUUCCCAUCAGAAAACAAGUCCAAAUGUCUCAGGGAGAGUGUUUCAUCCAAGACUAAAUAGUGGUAAUUUGAAUCCCUUGGCAGGCAUGACCUUUUUCUUCUCAGCUCAUCCCUGAUCCCUAGAUCCAGCACUAGAGCUUCCGGAAGGUUAUAUACAAUCAGACUUAACCCUUGUCUUUCCCCAGAUGCAGGAAUUCCAUUUUCCAAAGCUACACUGUUCUCCAGGCUAGAACAAUGGGGAGAAUGCUGGAUCUGGAGAGAGAGAGGUGGCUACCUCAAGGAAAAUGUAACCAG